rnacentral:rRNA from 1 species
UACGAAGGGGGGCUAGCGUUGCUCGGAAUCACUGGGCGUAAAGGGUGCGUAGGCGGGUCUUUUAAGUCAGGGGUGAAAUCCUGGAGCUCAACUCCAGAACUGCCUUUGAUACUGAAGAUCUUGAGUUCGGGAGAGGUGAGUGGAACUGCGAGUGUAGAGGUGAAAUUCGUAGAUAUUCGCAAGAACACCAGUGGCGAAGGCGGCUCACUGGCCCGAUACUGACGCUGAGGCACGAAAGCGUGGGGAGCAACAGGG